GCUGAACUUAAGCAUAUCAAUAAGCGGAGGAAAAGAAACCAACCGGGAUUGCCUCAGUAACGGCGAGUGAAGCGGCAAAAGCUCAAAUUUGAAAUCCUUCGGGAGUUGUAAUUUGUAGAGGGGUGUCUUUGGGGCGGCAUUGUCUAUGUUCCUUGGAACAGGACGUCACAGAGGGUGAGAAUCCCGUGCGAUGAUGCCUCAACCAGUACAAGACCCUCUCGACGAGUCGAGUUGUUUGGGAAUGCAGCUCUAAGUGGGUGGUAAAUUCCAUCUAAAGCUAAAUACUGGCGAGAGACCGAUAGCGAACAAGUACAGUGAUGGAAAGAUGAAAAGCACUUUGAAAAGAGAGUGAAACAGUACGUGAAAUUGUUGAAAGGGAAGGGUAGGAGGUGAGGGGAAGAGCUGCUUAGGCGCGGGAGAUAAACAAGCAGGAAGCGCUUCGGUGCGGCCUGGUAAAUAUCCCGUGCUUGUGUGGUUCUUCCGUAAUCCCCUUCUACCGCCCGUCUUGAAACACGGACCAAGGAGUCUAACGUCUAUGCGAGUGUUUGGGUGUCAAACCCGUACGCGAAAUGAAAGUGAAAGAUUGCAGCCUCGGCGCACAAUCGACCGACCAUGAUUUAUCUACGGUUUGAGUGGAGCAUAGCUGUUGGGACCCGAAAGAUGGUGAACUAUACCUGAGCAGGGUGAAGCCAGAGGAAACUCUGGUGGAGGCUCGCAGCGGUUCUGACGUGCAAAUCGAUCGUCGAACUUGGGUAUAGGGGCGAAAGACUAAUCGA
rnacentral:rRNA from 1 species